UGCGUAAGUGUUCGCCACUGCGGGAAGGGAGAUCACAGUCUGUAUUAGAGGCUGGAAGCAUGGUGUCCAUGUCAGGCGCUGGUGAAAUAUUUGGUAACAGCACCACCUGUGAUAUCUCAAAAAAUAGGUAAUUACCCAAGUAAUUAAACACUCAGUUUAAAGGGAAGCAUUCAUAAAGCAGAAUGUUAAUAGAGUGUGUUGGCUGCUGUUGGCUGAAAAUAAAAGAGAAUAAAGUCAAGAAAUCUCGGGACUUGUACAGUUGGACGGGGCAAUUACUUCUCAAUUCCAAACAGUAAAAAUUAACACGGAGAAAUGCUUGAGCAAAAAAGGCAGUCAAAACUCAGACUGGUAGCAGGGACCAAAAUAAGGGUUUGCUCAUCACAUACGUUGUUUGAAACACCUGAGUGGAGGAGACGAUGACCAAUAAAUCCUUUUAGUUGGCAAACUAGCCCAUGGAGAAGAGACUGAGUAUGCAGAUUCCUGAAAUUAAGGAGCGAGAGCACGAGAGAGGCAUUUUUCAAGAACUCCCAAAGGACAAAGGAACACGGAGUCCACUGGAACUAAGUCAGUAAGAAGCUGACUACGUUUUUAGGUUUUUGAGAGCCAUCUACUGCCAAAGAAACCAAAAGUCUGGACCAAAAUGGUGUGUAACUGAGACUUAAAGUGAUCUUUGGAUCUUGGCCCUACAGAAAGCUGGGGAACGAGCUGCAGGGCCUGGGCGAAAGGACACGCUCUUCUGGCGCCCUCUCCAGGUGUGGCCUUGAGAACAGCAGCGAAGGAGGGCCCUCCCUGAAGGGCCAAGCGAGGCCCCGGAAGCACAAGCCUCGCCUCGAACAGGGUUAGGACCUAAUUAAGGAACAUUCUCCUUCCUGGGGGGGUUUCCCUUCUGUCUACCCAGCAGGAUUUCAGAAUCCAACCGGCCGUGUGGCCGUGUCUCCCGUUCUGUUCCUUUCCCAGUGGGAGCAGGAGUUUCUGUGGCCCCGGCCCUGUUCCUCUACUGUGUGCGCAGUGAGGGAGGGACGACGGCUUUUAUUUUGGGUUCAGGAGUUUCGGAUCAGGAGCAGCGUAUGUGGACUCAGUGCUCUGGCGGCCCCCGUUGUUGCCUGGUGUAGCACCCCUGCAGGAGCCCGUGCUUUGAGUCAGACUCCGGCCUGAAGCGGCUCCUGGGUUGUCUCUCCAACACUCACAGCCUGUGCUCUGUACGUGACCCUUGCAUGGAUGAAGGGCAGAGGGAACCAAGGAAUUAGUGAUUGGAUCUGUUGAAGCCUGCUCCAGGGCCCUGAGAACGCGGAGACAAACCAGGGGUCCAUACCCCCUUUCAGAGCUCCCAGGAAGGACUUACGCCUGAGGAGGAAUGGGGGUGGAUAAGCUUGGGGAGCAGAGACUGGAGGAUGGGGUCUGAGAGGGGGUGUGGCUGGUGGGUGCUGGUUUGCAUUGUCCAAGGGAGACAGCCCAGGGAUCCGCAUAGGCAGAGGACCACUGCCUUUGGGCCAAGCAUGGCUCACAAGCCCCUCGCCUUUGCUUCCCUGCAGUUCUAGAUUCUUCAAAAGGUCCCAGCAAUGAUCUACCUAGAGACAGGGGCUGCAGGAGGGGCAGGACCUUCAAAGAUGCUCCUAGGGCAAAGUUGUGACUCUGCACAUGGUUUAUGGACCUGUGCUGCUGACUUGUGUGAAACUCGUCUGUCUCAUGGGAUGAGUCCCUUCCGAGUGGUACCUACUGGGUGAUUCCCAUACCGGGUGACUCACACACCAGGUGACCCACACCAUGGUGACUCAUACACUCCAUCAGUGAUGGAGAUGGUGGCCACCACUCCCAGGCUGGGGGAGCUCCUGACCCCAGCCUGGACAGUUUGGGACCAUCCCACUUCAUUUUCGUUCAGUCCUCGUGUUGUUAGCACAAAUAAGGAGUUUUGUGAAAAGCAUUGUCUGGGCCUGAAAUACCUGCUUGAAUUAAAACCCAGGCAAGGAAAGAAAUCCAGGCUGAUGGCCCUGACCCACAGGUCUCCCCAGGCAGGUACGGAGUGUUUUGGAAAGUGCUGGAGACCCUCAGGGAGAGGCCCUAUGAUGAUUUACCAUGAGUACUGGGUGGCCAGAUCCCGUGGGAAGCUUGUGGGAUGGAGAGCCACGAGGAGGUGCUGCCCAGGCGCUGAGGCCACAGCUAUCUCUCCUCCCUGGAACUCCUCUUGUCUCCCCCGCCCAGGGCCCCACCUACUCUGUCCUGUGGGUUCCUGCCCCUGGGGUGUCAGAGAAGCCCCCUCACUCAGUCUUGCGGGCUCAGCUCCGACGAGUCCCCAUUCUCAGGAAACGCUGGGAUUGGGCGGUACCAGGCUGAGCUCGUGACCCUGAAUGCCCCUCAUCCAGCUGGGUGGGGGCCUGCACAGUCCCUUAGGCCUCUGCCCCUCGUUUUCCCCAUCUGUAAACUGUAAGGUUGUGGGAGGGCUGUGUGUACAGUGCUGGAUGCAGAGCAGACACUCAGUAAACGCCCCGGCAAAGAGGAACGUGAGGUGUUCAGGCCCUACGCUAGGGCCUAUGCACCUGAGGGGAUGCGGGGCCUUGAACCCAGUUUGUCACCAGUGCCCUGGAAACCCAGGCCGAGUACAUCUGUGUAUGGGGGGUGUUUCGACAGCCCAGGAGCCUCUGCAGCUCUGACACUUUGCGUUCCGGGUAGCAGUCCCCAAGCCACACCCCAUGGCCUCCAGCCCAGGGCCUCCAGGCUCUGAUGAAAGACAGAAGGCAGAGGGUGGCAGGACCCUGAGGGAGGUGGUCUUGGCUCCUUCACCCCCAUCUCCGGCCCGGCAGAGACCCCGGCCCCAGUCUCCGGGAACAUUCAUUGAUGAGCGAACAGCAUUGGUCUCAGGGCUGUAGACGUGCUCCCACAUACCCCAUGGCUCAGGAGGAACUGGCUGAGAAUGGGCUCCUCUAGAACUUUUCCGAGGCUCUCCCCUCCUCUUCCAGUCUGGGAAGCUUCUUGAAAUAAGUUCUUUAAGUUUAUAAUCCACAAGAAGGAGCUCCAGGGGCUCAGCUGGGCGCUGCAGAUGUUUGCCAAGUUCUCCGGACGGGGACUGUGCUGUGAGCCAAGGGCCCACCACCUCGGGGGAAGCUGGGAACGGGGGCGGGCGGGCUCUCCACAGCCUAGAGCAUGAGGGGGAGCAAAGGGCCGAGGGAGUGGAGGAGGGGAGGCCACAGCUGAGCUUGAUUCACAAGGAUUUCAGAAGAAUUAGCCAGGGGACUGCGAGGCAGGAAGAGGGGAGGUGGGGAAGAGCGACUGGGCAGAGGAAAGGAGGCGUGUGGGAACAUGAAGCCGCUGAGCGUGCGCGCAUGUGUGUGUGCAUGUGUGCGUGUGUGAAGGUGGGGUCUUGGGGUGGGAGGAGGAGGAAUGGGCAAGGUGGGAUGCUCCAGCGUUGCGCAGGCGCUAGGAUUGAUGGGCCGGGGCUGUGUCUGUCUUGUUUUCCGGCAUGUCCCCUGUGCCCAGCAUGUUCAACCAUGUCUGUGGAUGAAUAAAUGGGAGGACUGGGUGUUUUCCAGACCCU
ensembl:lncRNA